rnacentral:misc_RNA from 1 species
GAUGAAGAACGUAGCGAAAUGCGAUAAGUAAUGCGAAUUGCAGAAUUUCCGUGAGUCAUCGAAUCUUUGAACGCACAUUGCGCCCACUGGUAUUCCAUGGGGCAUGCCUGUUCGAGCGUCAUUUGUACCUUCAAGCCUUGCUUGGUGUUGGGUGUUUGUCUCGCCUCUGCGCGCAGACUCGCCUCAAAACAAUUGGCAGCCGGCGUAUUGAUUUCGGAGCGCAGUACAUCUCGCGCUUUGCACUCAGAACGACGACGUCCAAAAGUACAUUUUUACACUCUUGACCUCGGAUCAGGUAGGGAUACCCGCUGAACUUAAGCAUAUCAAUAAGCGGAGGA